rnacentral:rRNA from 1 species
AUACGUAGGGGGCGAGCGUUGUCCGGAUUUAUUGGGCGUAAAGGGCUCGUAGGCGGCUUAACAAGUCGGCCGUGAAAACCCAGGGCUCAACCCUGGGACGCCGGUCGAUACUGUUAUGGCUAGGGUCCGGUAGAGGAGAAUGGAAUUCCCGGUGUAGCGGUGAAAUGCGCAGAUAUCGGGAGGAACACCAGUAGCGAAGGCGGUUCUCUGGGCCGGUACCGACGCUGAGGCGCGAAAGCUAGGGGAGCAAACAGGAUUAGAAACCCCGGUAGUCC